GAUGAACGCUGGCGGCGUGCCUAAUACAUGCAAGUCGAGCGAACAGACGAGGAGCUUGCUCCUCUGACGUUAGCGGCGGACGGGUGAGGAACACGUGGAUAACCUACCUAUAAGACUGGGAUAACUUCGGGAAACCGGAGCUAAUACCGGAUAAUAUAUUGAACCGCAUGGUUCAAUAGUGAAAGACGGUUUUGCUGUCACUUAUAGAUGGAUCCGCGCCGCAUUAGCUAGUUGGUAAGGUAACGGCUUACCAAGGCAACGAUGCGUAGCCGACCUGAGAGGGUGAUCGGCCACACUGGAACUGAGACACGGUCCAGACUCCUACGGGAGGCAGCAGUAGGGAAUCUUCCGCAAUGGGCGAAAGCCUGACGGAGCCACGCCGCGUGAGUGAUGAAGGUCUUCGGAUCGUAAAACUCUGUUAUUAGGGAAGAACAAAUGUGUAAGUAACUAUGCACGUCUUGACGGUACCUAAUCAGAAAGCCCCGGCUAACUACGUG
rnacentral:rRNA from 1 species